rnacentral:rRNA from 1 species
ACCUACGGGGCGCAGCAGUGGGGAAUAUUGCACAAUGGGGGAAACCCUGAUGCAGCGACGCCGCGUGAGUGAAGAAGUAAUUCGUUAUGUAAAGCUCUAUCAGCAGGGAAGAAAAUGACGGUACCUGAGUAAGAAGCCCCGGCUAACUACGUGCCAGCAGCCGCGGUAAUACGUAGGGGGCAAGCGUUAUCCGGAUUUACUGGGUGUAAAGGGAGCGUAGACGGCUGGGCAAGUCUGGAGUGAAAGGCAGGGGCCCAACCCCUGGACUGCUCUGGAAACUGUCCGGCUGGAGUGCAGGAGAGGUA